rnacentral:rRNA from 1 species
ACUACUCUAGGCGGUGGAUCGCUCGGCUCGU